rnacentral:rRNA from 1 species
ACCUACGGGGCGCAGCAGUGAGGAAUAUUGGUCAAUGGCCGGAAGGCUGAACCAGCCAAGCCGCGUGAAGGACGAAGGUGCCAAGCAUUGUAAACCUCUUUUGUCAGGGAGCAAAGGGCGCCACGUGUGGCGUUUUGCGAGUACCUGAAGAAAAAGCAUCGGCUAACUCCGUGCCAGCAGCCGCGGUAAUACGGAGGAUGCGAGCGUUAUCCGGAUUUAUUGGGUUUAAAGGGUGCGUAGGCGGACUGUUAAGUCAGCGGUAAAAGCCCGGGGCUCAACCCCGGCGAGCCGUUGAAACUGGCUGU